GUUAGAUUUAGCAAUGUGACCUGUUACUACUGCAAAAGGAAGGGACAUAUCAGGAAGGAAUGCGAUAUAUUGCAGGCUAAAGGUGAUUUAGCUGCAAAUCGUAGGGUGCAACCUUUGAAUUUAACCAAUGUAGUUGAGAAUUGUUCAGCAAAGAGGUGAUGUUGACCGUGGUAUCUGAUGUAAAGUCUAGGCCUGACGAGAAGUGAAUUCUUGAUUUAGCAUGUUCGCACCAUAUGUGUUCCGAUAGGAAUUUAUUUCGGACAUAUGAGGUUGUUCAGCAAUGUGGAGUUGUAAUGGGAAAUCACUCUAGUCAGAUUGAGGCUGCGGGAUGGAACAUUUAGAACAAUUGAUUAUGUUCGAUAUGUUCCUGACCUGAAAAGAAAUCUCAUUUCGCUAAGUACCCUGGAUGCAAAAGGGUAUAAAAUUUCUGGAGGAGGUGGAGUCUUAAAUGUUUGAAAGGGAGUCCGAGUUGUGCUGGAGGGACGGAAAAGAUCCCAGUUGUACAUUUUGUAGGGGAGUGCAAAACCAGUUAAGAGGAGACAUUUGAACAAGUUUAGUACCGUGGUGGAAGUUUAGUUUGGUACAGUACCUCUUGUGUCGGGCUCUGAGUCGAUUAAGAACAGUUCUAGGGAGAGCGUUGGUGAUUCCGUUUUGCCACCAAUUUCAGCGAGUACACCGUAUUCAGUUGUUGGGGAAGGACUCAUCCAGCGCAGGUAUCGUGGUGUCAGCAAUGUCUAGGAUGCUUCUAGAGACGUUGAAGGCAACAGUUCCAAUAAGGGGCCUUCUGAUCAAGCAUCUGGUUUGGUUUUUGCUACAGGGUGUGCUUUAGCCCUGUAUGAUCAACAUUAAUUCCUUGGUGAAAUUGGAAACCCUGGGGAUUGGGUUUGGGUAUCAGUUGCAAAUGUCGAGCAGGGGACGAGUGUUUGGUUUAUAUUGAGUGGUUACCGUGUUGAGGAGAUUCGGUCAGUUAAUUUCGAUGCAAAUGAAUUUGAAAUCUAGGAGUUUCGUUUGUAGCACCGGAAUUUGAGUCAAGGUGGAGAUUGUUAG
rnacentral:lncRNA from 1 species